GAGUUUGAUCCUGGCUCAGGAUGAACGCUGGCGGCGUGCCUAACACAUGCAAGUCGAAUGGAGUUGAAAGGAGCUUGCUUUUUUCAACUCAGUGGCGGACGGGUGAGUAACGCGUGAGUAACCUGCCUUUCAGAGGGGGAUAACGUUCUGAAAAGAACGCUAAUACCGCAUAAGAUUGUAGUUUCGCAUGGAGCAGCAAUCAAAGGAGCAAUCCGCUGAAAGAUGGACUCGCGUCCGAUUAGAUAGUUGGCGGGGUAACGGCCCACCAAGUCGACGAUCGGUAGCCGGACUGAGAGGUUGAUCGGCCACAUUGGGACUGAGACACGGCCCAGACUCCUACGGGAGGCAGCAGUGAGGGAUAUUGGGCAAUGGGGGAAACCCUGAUGCAGCAACGCCGCGUGAGUGAAGAAGUAUUUCGGUAUGUAAAGCUCUAUCAGCAGGGAAGAUAAUGACGGUACCUGACUAAGAAGCUCCGGCUAAAUACGUGCCAGCCGCCCGGUAAUUC
rnacentral:rRNA from 1 species